AAUAUUAUAAGUAAAUAAACUAAAAGAAUUAUAUAAAAAAAUAUAAUAUAAAUUAGAAUUUAUAUAAAAUAAAAUAAUAUAAUAUUAUAAUUAUAAAAAAUUUAAAAAAACUAAUUUUUAAGAAAAAAAAUAUAAUUUAUUUACUUUAAUAAAAUAUUAAAAUAAUAUAAUUAAGUAAUAAAUUAAAUUAUAAGAAAUUAAAACUAUUUAUUAUUA
rnacentral:tRNA from 1 species